CUCCACCGUCCGAUCAUCUUCACACUCAACAGUUUGCCUCCAAUUUCACCACAUUGUAUCAUUCCAUUUUCCCGCCAAAACCAUCUCCGCUUCCUUCUUCUAUCUCCUUUUCACUAACCCCUUCCACCUCCUCCCCGUCCUCCACUGCCACCACUAAUGAUUUUAAUACUGAGCACCGCCUUCACCAGGCGCGUCUUAUUUUGGAGUAUCAAGAGCUCUGCGACCACUACGAGCUCUCUGUCGCUCGCCUCCAAGUUUUGACAAACGAGAUCGACUCGCUUCGCCAAGAGAAUGCCGAUCUCAGAUUCACCAAUAAUGAGCUGGUUAAGAUUCUCAGCUUAUCUUCUCAGGCCGCGAUUCAAAGCCGCUUUACCAGCCGCGAGAUGGUUGAGCCGAACCGUUUCGAGAGGAAUACAGAGCGAGUCUCGUUGCCGAAGAGCAUUUCUGUCCGGUCUAGUGGUUAUCUUAAAACAAAUCGAGCCAGUGCAAGCAAUGGUGGCGGUCAGAGUAGCACCUCAAAUAGGCCGCGAGUUCCGAGUCAUCUCGAUCAAUUCGUCCCUGGAUCGGCGCAGCAUCGAGUGUGCGUGCCAGGACGAGGGAAGAAGGAGGACGCAGCCGUGGAGUUAGACGUGUACAAUCAAGGGAUGUGGAAGACAGAGCUGUGCAACAAAUGGCAGGAGACUAGCACGUGUCCUUACGGCGACCAUUGCCAAUUUGCUCACGGAAUUACAGAGCUACGUCCCGUUAUAAGGCACCCAAGGUACAAGACUCAGCUUUGCAGGAUGGUUCUUGCCGGUGAAGUAUGUCCCUAUGAUCAUAGGUGCCACUUUCGCCACUCUCUUACUGAGCAGGAGAGGCUAAUGGGUCCACGUUGAUCUGUUUUUCUUGAUGGGGAAAGGGAAAUGUAAAGAUUAAGGAAAUGCCAAAGGGGAUGUAUAAUCAAUAUAUGAUGUAACUAAUAAAAAUGGGUAAAACAAGAGAGAUGAGAACUUAUAAAUGAGGAGGAUAAAUAUAUUAAGAAGAUAUAAUAAUUAGUAAAAUGGGGUAAUAAGAGUUAAAACUUUUCUCCGAGAGGUUUAAGUCGCAAGUCAGAGAAAUUGGAUAUUCCUGAUUGUUGUAGGAAAUAUUUCUGAAUUCUGAUGUGAAGCUGGUUGGGAUAGGUCAUGAACAACCUCCAAAACUAGACCAAACUUCAAGCCUGUAAUGAUGAUAUUUUGUUGUGCAAUGCUACGCAACCUUCAUUUCAAGUUAGUUACGUUCUUCCUUCCAAAACUCUCUUUCACACACGAACACGCACACAAACACAGAGUCAAAUUGUUGCAUUUUUGUCCUUCGGAUUUGGUGUGGACGGGUACAGAAGUAUAGACAUUAUUGUUGCAUUGUUUGUCAAUUGUGAAUUAAAUUUGCGAUGCUGACGCCUUGUGUACUCCUUACAUAACCUAUGAAUGUUUCUUUUAUAUAUGUUUCCUCUAGUUUCACACGUAAGCAAAG
rnacentral:misc_RNA from 1 species